rnacentral:rRNA from 1 species
AUUGAACGCUGGCGGCAGGCCUAACACAUGCAAGUCGAACGAGUGGCGGACGGGUGAGUAAUGUCUGGGACACUGCCUGAUGGAGGGGGAUAACUACUGGAAACGGUAGCUAAUACCGCAUACCAUCGGAUGUGCCCAGAUGGGAUUAGCUAGUAGGUGGGGUAAAGGCUCACCUAGGCGACGAUCCCUAGCUGGUCUGAGAGGAUGACCAGCCAAACUGGAACUGCGACACGGUCCAGACGCCUACGGGAGGCAGCAGUGGGGAAGAUUGCACAAUGGGCGAAAGCCUGAUGCAGCCAUGCCGCGUGGAUGAAGAAGGCCUUAGGGUUGUAAAGUACGUUCAGCGGGGAGGCGUUACCCGCAGAAGAAGCACCGGCUAACUCCGUGCCAGCAGCCGCGGUAAUAC